GCCUACGGCCAUACCACCCUGAGAACGCCCGAUCUCGUCUGAUCUCGGAAGCUAAGCAGGGUCGGGCCUGGUUAGUACUUGGAUGGGAGACCACCUGGGAAUACCAGGUGCUGUAAGCU
rnacentral:rRNA from 1 species